rnacentral:rRNA from 1 species
UGCCUACGGGGCGCAGCAGUGGGGAAUAUUGGGCAAUGGGCGCAAGACUGACCCAGCAACGCCGCGGGAAGGAAGAAGGCUUUCGGGUUGUAAACUUCUUUUCUCAGGGACGAAGAAAGUGACGGUACCUGUUUAGAAAGCUCCGGCUAACUACGUGCCAGCAGCCGCGGUAAUACGUAGGGAGCAAGCGUUGUCCGGAAUUACUGUGCGUAAAGUGCGCGGAGGUGGGUGCUUAAGUCAGGUGUGAAAACUCU